GAUGAACGCUGGCGGCGUGCCUAAUACAUGCAAGUCGAGCGAACAGACGAGGAGCUUGCUCCUCUGACGUUUGCGGCGGACGGGUGAGAAACACGUGGAUAACCUACUUAUAUGACUGGGAUAAUCUCGGGAAACCGGAGCUAAUACCGGAUAAUAUAUUGAACCGUAUGGUUCAAUAGUGAAAGACGGUUUUGGUGUCACUUAUAGAUGCAUCUCAGCGGCAUUAGCUAGUUGGUAAGGUAACGGCUUUUCAAGGCUAGGAUGCGUAGCCGACCUGAGAGGGGGGUCGGCCACACUAGAACUGAGACACGGUCCAGGCUCCUACGGGAGGCAGCAGUAGGGAAUCUUCCGCAAUGGGCGAAAGCAUGACGGAGCAACGCCGCGUGAGUGAUGAAGGUCUUCGGAUCGUAAAACUCUGUUAUUAGGGAAGAACAAAUGUGUAAGUAACUAUGCACGUCUUGACGGUACCUAAUCAGAAAGCCACGGCUAACUACGUG
rnacentral:rRNA from 1 species